CGGUGUGAGCCAUUGGUGGAGCGCUGACUCCCCGGCUGCACCCAGCGCUGUUUGCUUGCCAUUGCUUGCUGUAAUCAAUAAAUUUCUGAUUGACUCUCAAAAGGCUGAACAAAUUAUUCGCCUCAAUUUAUAACAGUCUGGUGCCAUGACUCGGAUAAGGGCUAUCCUUAGGCUAUCCUUAGUUGGAAGCUCCUCACGGGGAGGCACCCUCGCUGCCUUGGCAGUGAGUCCCGCUCAGGUGUCUUCCCUCUGGAACCCUUACCGACGAACCCAAAUCCGGUGGCAAGCAAAGAAUAGCUGGCAACCCCUUAAUCUUUGUGCAUGAAGUCCUGGGCGAAGACACAGGAUUGUAGACAGCAAUUCCAACCUCCGAGAAGCGAUAGACCCAUGUGAGUCGAGUUAAAGGGCUGAUCACUACAGCUGACCAUUAGAGAGUAACGAGCCAACCCAGAAACCUGAAGGUCACCUUGAAGAAAAACUAACGGACUCAGUGUGGGUAAUCCAGAUAGACCAAGAAGGGGAACAGAAAGGAUACACUUACCCCUUGGCUGAUGAUUUAUAGAGUAGUGUGUAAAGAAAUACGUUGUGAUUGUUA